rnacentral:rRNA from 1 species
AUUGAACGCUGGCGGCAGGCCUAACACAUGCAAGUCGAGCGGAUGAAGGGAGCUUGCUCCUGGAUUCAGCGGCGGACGGGUGAGUAAUGCCUAGGAAUCUGCCUGGUAGUGGGGGAUAACGUCCGGAAACGGGCGCUAAUACCGCAUACGUCCUGAGGGAGAAAGUGGGGGAUCUUCGGACCUCACGCUAUCAGAUGAGCCUAGGUCGGAUUAGCUAGUUGGUGGGGUAAAGGCCUACCAAGGCGACGAUCCGUAACUGGUCUGAGAGGAUGAUCAGUCACACUGGAACUGAGACACGGUCCAGACUCCUACGGGAGGCAGCAGUGGGGAAUAUUGGACAAUGGGCGAAAGCCUGAUCCGGCCAUGCCGCGUGUGUGAAGAAGGUCUCCGGAUUGUAAAGCACUUUAAGUUGGGAGGAAGGGCAGUAAGUUAAUACCUUGCUGUUUUGACGUUACCAACAGAAUAAGCACCGGCUAACUUCGUG